GUUCUGGAGGAUUUUCAGAGACAAGUUUGGCAGUAGUUCCAAGUCAACAAGAGGAUCUAGUUGGAGUGCCACCAGAGUGGACGCCGCCCAACUUAAGUGUACCUAUCUUAAAUUUGGUGGACAAGAUUUUUCAGCUGAAUAGAAGAGGCUGGCUAAGAAGACAGGUAUUUUGGAUAUCAAAGGAAAUUAUGCAGUUAAUGAUGGAGGAUGCUAUUGAUGAUUGGCUGUUAAGGCAAAUUCAUUGGCUACGGAGAGAUGAUAUUAUUGCUUUGGGAAUUAAAUGGAUUCAAGAUGUUCUCUGGCCCAAUGGCAUUUUCUUCAUAAAAUUAAGAAAUAUUGUUGAAAGCAGCAAUGAACCAAAUCAAGGAUCUGUUCAUAGCACGAAACAAUCUGGAGGAAGUAAGGUCUCUAAGGCAGGAUCUUUUGAGGAGCAGCUUGAGGCUACUCGUAGGGCAAGUGAUGUGAAAAAGAUGCUCUAUGAUGGUGCUCCCGCCACUUUGGUCAGCUUAAUUGGGCACAAGCAGUACAGACGUUGUGCUAGGGAUUUGUAUUAUUUCCUUCAGUCUACUAUCUGCUUAAAGCAGCUUACAUAUGGUGUCCUCGAACUUGUACUUAUAUCAAUCUUCCCUGAACUGAGGGAUCUUGUGAAGGAUAUCCAUGAGAAGGCACACACUCAACCUGUAUAGGUGCCUCUCUUUUUUCAGUGACUACGUCAAUGAGCUCUUUUGACUCGACU
rnacentral:misc_RNA from 1 species